rnacentral:rRNA from 1 species
UUUUUUUUGUUUCUAUUAAAAAUAAAGCCUGCCCACUGAAUAUUGAAGGGCCGCGGUAUUUUGACCGUGCUAAGGUAGCAUAAUCAUUAGUCUCUUAAUUAGGGAAUAGUAUGAAUGGCUAAAUCUUUGGUUUCUUUAUUCUUUAAAAGAGGUUGAAAUUUAAUUUUAAGUGAAAAUGCUUAAAUUGGGUAAUUAGACGAUAAGACCCUUUAGAGUUUUAUUUUAUUUAUUAAAUCAAAGGUUGGAGGGGUUUUAUUUAUAAAAAUAAAAUUUAGUUGGGGCAACUUUAGAAUAAAAAAAACUUCUUGUAACUUUCAAGAUCUAUAAAUUGUAAAAUUAAAAAAUUACCUAAGGGAUAACAGCGUUAUAAUUUUUGAGAGUUCUUAUCGAUAAAAUUGAUUGCGACCUCGAUGUUGAAUUAAAAAUUCUUUAUGGGGCAGUACUUGAAUAAGAUAGUCUGUUCGACUAUGAAAAUUUU